rnacentral:lncRNA from 1 species
UAUAGUUGUGAAUUAGCAUGAACAAACUUGCAUAGCUGAAGAACAUUUAACAUGAAUAAAUAUAUCUGGACCGAAUGGUAAUGAAGGUGAUCAACCUUUCAUACCUGAAGAUUUCAUGCAAUGUACAUAUAGUACGAUUCAACAAAUCAUAGACGUGAUAAUCAUGAAUGAUUAUUCACAAGCAUAUACGCAAAAUUAUAACUCAGGGUUGCGUUAAAGAAAACUUGUCUGUUUCGUUGAUUAUCG